rnacentral:rRNA from 1 species
CUCACUUGUGGGGGGAUUAGUGGCGAACGGGUGAGUAACACCUGAUUAACCUGCCCUUGACUCUGGGAUAAGCCUGGGAAACCGGGUCUAAUACUGGAUACGACCUUCUGGCGCAUGCCAUGUUGGUGGAAAGCUUUUGUGGUUUUGGAUGGACUCGCGGCCUAUCAGCUUGUUGGUGGGGUAAUGGCCUACCAAGGCGACGACGGGUAGCCGGCCUGAGAGGGUGACCGGCCACACUGGGACUGAGACACGGCCCAGACUCCUACGGGAGGCAGCAGUGGGGAAUAUUGCACAAUGGGCGCAAGCCUGAUGCAGCGACGCCGCGUGAGGGAUGAAGGCCUUCGGGUUGUAAACCUCUUUCAGUAGGGAAGAAGCUGGCCUUUCGGGGUUGGUGACGGUACCUGCAGAAGAAGCGCCGGCUAACUACGUGCCAGCAGCCGCGGUAAUACGUAGGGCGCAAGCGUUAUCCGGAAUUAUUGGGCGUAAAGAGCUCGUAGGCG